GAUGAACGCUGGCGGCGUGCCUAAUACAUGCAAGUCGAGCGAACAGACGAGGAGCUUGCUCCGCUGACGUUAGCGGCGGGCGGGAGAAUAACACGUGUAUAACCUACCUAUAAGACGGGGAUAACUUCGGGAAACCGGAUCUAAUACCGGAGAAUAUCUUGAACCGCAUGGUGCGAUAGUGAAAUACGGUUGUUGUGUCACGUAUCGCUGCAUCCGCGCCGCAUUGUGUAGUUGGUACGGUAACAGGUUACCAAGGCAAGGAGGCGUGGACGAACUGAGAGGGUGAUAGGCCACAUUGGAACUUAGACACGCUCCAGACUCCUACGGGACGGAGCAGUCGGGAACCUGACGCAACGGGCGAAAGCCUGACGCAGCGAGGCGGCGUGAGUGACGACGGUCUUCGGAUCGUAAAACUCUCUUAUUAGGGAAGAACAACUUUGUCCGUAACUAUGCACGUAUUGACGGUACUUAAUCAGAAAGCACCGGCUAACUACGUG
rnacentral:rRNA from 1 species